AUUGAACGCUGGCGGCAGGCCUAACACAUGCAAGUCGAGCGAGCGGCGGACGGGUGAGUAAUGUCUGGGAAACUGCCUGAUGGAGGGGGAUAACUACUGGAAACGGUAGCGAAUACCGCAUACCCUCAGAUGUGCCCAGAGGGGCUGAGCGAGUGGUUGGGGUAACGGCUACCCUAGGCGACGAUCCCUAGCUGGUCUGAGAGGAUGACCAGCCAUACUGGAACUGAGACACGGUCCAGACUCCUACGGGAGGCAGCAGUGGGGAAUAUGGCACAAUGGGCGCAAGCCUGAUGCAGCCAUGCCGCGUGUGUGAAGAAGGCCUUCGGGUUGUAAAGCACUUUCAGCGGGGAGGCGUUACCCGCAGAAGAAGCACCGGCUAACUCCGUGCCAGCAGCCGCGGUAAUAC
rnacentral:rRNA from 1 species